rnacentral:rRNA from 1 species
GAUGAACGCUGGCGGCGUGCUUAACACAUGCAAGUCGAACGGAAAGGCCCAAGCUUGCUUGGGUGCUCGAGUGGCGAACGGGUGAGUAACACGUGGGUGAUCCGCCCUGCACUUUGGGAUAAGCCUGGGAAACUGGGUCUAAUACCGGAUAGGACCAUCGUUUAGUGUCGGUGGUGGAAAGUUUUUCGGUGUGGGAUGAGCUCGCGGCCUAUCAGCUUGUUGGUGGGGUAAUGGCCUACCAAGGCGUCGACGGGUAGCCGGCCUGAGAGGGUGUACGGCCACAUUGGGACUGAGAUACGGCCCAGACUCCUACGGGAGGCAGCAGUGGGGAAUAUUGCACAAUGGGCGCAAGCCUGAUGCAGCGAAGCCGCGUGGGGGAUGACGGCCUUCGGGUUGUAAACUCCUUUCGCCAAGGACGAAGCGUUUUGUGACGGUACUUGGAGAAGAAGCACCGGCUAACUACGUG